rnacentral:misc_RNA from 1 species
CUUGAUCCACUUGGCUACAUCCGCCCCUAAUACUCUACUUAAAAAGUAGUAAGUUAUCAUUCAAUUUCAUCUUUCUUAUAAGAUAAAGAAAAUAAAGAUUCAAAAAAAAAAAAAAAAAARUUUUUYCCCUUUGGCCYCUUUUUUUUGGGGMRUUUUUUUUAAAGGAAUUUUUUAUAAAAAAAAAAAAAAGGGGGCAAUCCCGGCCCCCUGGAYCAUCCAAGAGGGUGGGAAUGGCCCCUUUUUUUUAAAAAACCCR